GGCGCAAACGCACCAAGGUCGGAAAACCACGCGGAGAACGAACAGCUCGCAAAAUUCUGUAGUGUUGUUGUCUGUUCCUAUUUAUUUUCUCUCGUCAAUAAUCGUAUUGAAAUCAGGUUUAAGAGCUGACAGAACGAUGUUACAGAAAGACCAGCAGACAUCGGUGAGCCUGCUGGAUGGAGCCGAAAACAGAAAUCACAGAAGCAAGAACAGACCGAUGAAGGUGAUUUGAUGUAUUCAGAACUGAUGGAGGUGAAGCAGGAAAGUUCAGAACCGAAUGAAACGGAGGAGAAAAUUAAGGGAGAUACAUCUUUGUGCUUCUUCAAUACUGAGAAGAAUUUGUCAUCAUUUCAAGCAGAAACCGCCAAAGAUUCACAUACGUGCCCUCAGUGUGGAAAGACCCUCAGUUGUACAAGUGCUCGUAAUAGACACAUGAGAACUCAUACUGGAGAGAGACCGUUUGAAUGUGACCAGUGUGGAAAGACUUUAACUAGUAAAGCCAGCCUUGUUGAACACAAGCGAAUACACACUGGAGAAAGACCUUACACAUGCGACCAGUGUGGAAAAAGUUUUGCGUGGUUGACAGCUCUUAGAGAGCAUCUCCUUUAUCAUUCUGGAGUGAGAUCAUUUCAGUGUGAACAGUGCAGUAAAACAUUCAUUUCUUCAAAUUCCUUGAGAACGCACAUAAAGACUCAUGCAGCUGUGAAGCCAUAUUCCUGUUCCUUCUGUGAAAAGACAUAUUUAUAUCUUAACUCUCUUAAACAGCAUGAGCAAACGCACACAGGUGGGAUAUCUCACGUGUGCUCUGUGUGCGGGAAAAGCUUCACUUCAGUUUCCUCUUUAAAACAGCACCAUAGAAUUCAUACCGGAGAAAAACCACACAAGUGCUCGCAGUGUGGAAAGAGUUUCACUCGUGUAAGAAACCUGCGGGACCAUGAGCGACUGCACACUGGCGAUAGACCUUACCACUGCUCCUCAUGUGGGCAGAGUUUUGUGGCAUCAAGCACUCUUUGCACUCACAGGAAAAAGUGGUGUAAAGGGCACCAAAAUUAAUAUUUACGAAACGGUUAAGAUUGUGUUUUUAUUACUUGCUAAGUGGCUCUGAGGAUUUGCCAAAGUUGGCCAAGUAACUUCAACUUUUUCUCAUCUUGCUAACCCUUUUGUGUCACUGACCCAUUAUUAUCUGAACUCAACAGUUGGCAGCCCUGUCACAGUUAAACAACAAAAUACAAAAAUAAAAUCACUGCUCUUGACUCAAAAACUUUUGCAACCUUUAUAUAUAAAUGUAUAAUUCAUUAUAGAGGACAAAAUUCUGUUUCUCUUUUUGGAAAUGCUGCUGUUAAAUAGAUUCAUUUGUAUCUUAAUCUGCAUGUUUGUUUAAAAGAUUUAAUAACAAAGAAAAUAUGAAAUAAAAUUGGGGAAAUUAGAUUUUGGCAUAUCGCCCACCCCUAC